UGACGAGCAGGCAUUGGCUCCCGUUUGGGUUUUCCCUGCAGAGUAAGGCCAUUGAAUUUAUCUCAUUUAUACCUUGAGCACCAACACACACACAAUUCGUGAAGUGGAAAACCGAGGAGGACGUCCCUGUGGGCUGGAGUGGACAAGAUCCUAUCAUUUCCUUAAACUAAAAGCAACCCCAAGGAAGUACACAGCACCCGUUAAGUGCCGGGCAGUGCGCAUGUGCACACAGACACACAAGCCCUCUGAAGAGCCAUGGGAGGGGGUCCCUGUCACCUGCAUGAUUCGACCACAUGGAGCCCGCACUGCACCAGAGCACUCAGCCACGGCCUCCAGGGCCCUUAGCAAGAGGGAGGUGCACAGCGGGUUAGUCAUGUCCAGUGUGAAGACGUCGGCCAGCACCAGGAGACAGUCACAAACAGAAGACCCCAGAGAGGGACUGGAACCUCCUUCCACUGGCUCCUUUUCUGUUCCUGAGGAAGAGCCAUCAGCUCUGGCCCAGAACAAUCCGAGUUAAAAGGUGUGGACACGGAGAACGGAUAGGCUGAGUGUCGUGAGAUCCAGUGACUUUAGCAGAUACUGUCGACUAUUUAGCAGACAGUUUUGAAGGAUAAAAACGAGCCAGGACCUGCAAAGCUCCCUGGGUCUAGCUCCUGAAUUACAGGAGUAGAAUACAUGGAUCAUGUGUGCAUGUGUGUGUGAGCAUUUGUGUGAUAGCACAUGUGUGUGCAAGUUAACAGCCACUGAGAACAACAUGGGCUCAGCUCCCCAAGGUGAUUCGCCUAGGACCCUCCUGCAAUCUCCUAAGACCUGGUCUGCAUUCACACAGGCCUUCUAUCUAAAACCACACAUUCUACCCACUUGUGCUCUCUCUGCAGCGGGUAAAGCUGAGCUCUCCACAAUGUAAAUCUUCACAGUACAGAAUUUGGGUAGAAUUUAAGGUAUUUUAGUGUCACAAGCAAUAUUCCCUAACUUUAAAAGGGGAAAGAUAUUGAAUAUGACAUUCAGAUAAAGAAUUCUUGGGACUCAUUGGGUUUGUUGUUUCUAAUGAUCCUUGGGGAGCAAGCUGUGACUCUAAACCUUUUAAUAUAUAUAUAUUUUUUGUAUUAAGGAUUGAACCCAGGGGCGCUUAACCACUGAGCCACAUCUCCAGCCCUUUUCGCUUUGGAUAUUGAGACUCAGUCUUCCUAAGUUGCUUAGGGCCUCACUGAGUUGCUGAGUCUAGCCUUGAACUUUCAGUCCUCCUGCCUCAGCCUCCUGAGUCACUGGGAUUACAGGUGUGCGCCACUGCCCAGCAUCAUAAUUUUUUCCAUGAAAUAUGCCUAAGGAAACUAUUUGGUCAUUAGCAGUAAAACAGAACAAAAUAAAAACAAAACAAAACCAAACCUCUAUCUGCAUACAGACUUCACAGGAGGUACACAGCAAUCCUAAGUAAAGAUAAAAUUCCAUUUAGAAUAUCCCAUCAGACCAUGAGACGGGUGUGUGGUAAGCUCUUCUCCGUCACAGCCCUGAGGACGUGUAUCGUGUGGUUUCUCAAGGUCUGAAACCAUAUUCCUUGCCUGUGUCAGGGAUGUCAUUGAAGGCCCCAAACGAUGCUCCUCCAGGCACUCAGGAGAGGUCUGAGGGUCCGCAUGCCGUGGUGAGAGUACAGUGCUGCAGGACCUGGUGCACAGAUGGGGCAGUGAUCAAGAAGCUGUUGGGAUAAAAAGAGGUUUCGUUCCUUGCCUUCCCCCGUGAGACUGGCAUGGUGUGUUUUCAUCAUGUUCUUUGAAGUGAAUUCCUAGAAUCAAGACGUUUUUCAAGACGUUUAGAAGUGGGGGGUCCCAGCUCUAAUUGCACUUUUCCAUAGACCAUGGUCAGCAGGUCACAUUCUGAUGACCUCACGUACCCCUCAGGAGACCCGUAUCGAGUGCAUGCUGUAUUCCAGGAGGGCUGCCUGUUGAAAUUGUAUUAUCUCAGAAUGUUCCUGAACAUUCAUGCAGGUACAGAAAUCUUUCUGAAGCAACGGCUUGUGUGGAUGUGCAGAAAUUGGAACCCCUGUCCUUCAUGGGUGGGACUGUAAAAUGGUGCAGCCACUUUGGAAAAGAGUUGAUAAUUCCUCCAAAUGUCAGGCCCAGAGUUACCGUGUGACCAGUAAUUCUACAGCUAGAUUUAUGCUCAUGAGAAUUGAAAAUGGUGUCUACAUCAAAAUCUGCACACAAAUGUUCUUAUCAGCUUUAUAAUAACCAAAUUGGGAGUAACUCAAAUGUUCAUCAGCAGAUGGAUGGAUAAACAAAACACAGUGUGUUUGUGCAAUAGAAUGCUUAUUGGAUAUUUUGUGAAAGGGUGCAAUUCUGUUUCAUGUUCCAGUAGGGACGAACCUUGACAUUAUUAUGCUAUGUGAAAGAAGGAACAACAAGCGGCCACAAAUUGUGCUUCUGUUUAUAUCCCAAUGCCCAGGAUACACAAAUCCAAAGGCAGAAAGUCAAUUAGUUGUUGCUGAGAGAAUGAGGGUGUGGAGGGAAACGAGGGUGAUCUGUGGAUGUGUUUUGUUUGGGGAUGAUAAUAGAGAGUGGCAAUGGCUUUACAAUUCUGUGAUUAAGCUAAAGUGACUGAAUUGCACACUUUAAAGCAAUAAAUCUUAUGGUAUGUGAAUUAUAUUUAAUGAAGUUUUUACCGAGCUCUUAGGUUGUUCAAACCUUUGUCCCAUAAGUGAUCAAGAUUGAACUUGUUGUUUUGAGAUGUUUUUAGCCUUUAGAUUAAAAUAAAGCAAAAUUUUAA